rnacentral:rRNA from 1 species
CUGGGGCUGAAGUAGGUCCCAAGGGUAUGGCUGUUCGCCAUUUAAAGUGGUACGCGAGCUGGGUUUAGAACGUCGUGAGACAGUUCGGUCCCUAUCUGCCGUGGGCGCUGGAGAAUUGAGGGGGGCUGCUCCUAGUACGAGAGGACCGGAGUGGACGCAUCACUGGUGUUCGGGUUGUCAUGCCAAUGGCACUGCCCGGUAGCUAAAUGCGGAAGAGAUAAGUGCUGAAAGCAUCUAAGCACGAAACUUGCCCCGAGAUGAGUUCUCCCUGAGACUUUAAGUCUCCUGAAGGAACGUUGAAGACGACGACGUUGAUAGGCCGGGUGUGUAAGCGCAGCGAUGCGUUGAGCUAACCGGUACUAAUGAACCGUGAGGCUUAACCUUACAACGCCGAAG